rnacentral:rRNA from 1 species
UCUCAAAGAUUAAGCCAUGCAUGUCUAAGUCCUUGCCGCUUUAAGGUGAAACCGCGAAUGGCUCAUUAAAUCAGUUACGGUUCAUUAGAUUUUGACUGUCUACAUGGAUAUCUGUGGUAAUUCUAGAGCUAAUACACGCUGGAAAGGUCCGACCCGAGAGGGAAGGAGUGCGUUAAUUAGACCAAGACCAAUGGAGUKRRKKUMGCAAKAMKUYMAUUCAUUGCCUGAUGGUGACUCUGGAUAACUGCGCUGAUCGCAUGGCCUCUGUGCCGGCGACGUAUCUUUCAAGUGUCUGCCUUAUCAACUGUCGAUGGUAGGUUAUGCGCCUACCAUGGUUGUAACGGGUAACGGGGAAUCAGGGUUCGAUUCCGGAGAGGGAGCCUGAGAAACGGCUACCACAUCCAAGGAAGGCAGCAGGCACGCAAAUUACCCACUCCCAGCACGGGGAGGUAGUGACGAAAAAUAACAAUACGGGACUCUAUGAGGCCCCGUAAUUGGAAUGAGUACAGCAUAAAUCCUUUAACGAGGAUCUAUUGGAGGGCAAGUCUGGUGCCAGCAGCCGCGGUAAUUCCAGCUCCAAUAGCGUAUAUUAAAGUUGUUGCGGUUAAAAAGCUCGUAGUUGGAUCUCAGUCCAUGGCGCGCGGUCCACUCACUUGGGUGGUUAACUGCGCGUGUGGACAUUGAAUGUUGACUGCAUUUGUCCGUCGGUGCUCUUCACCGAGUGUCGUCGGCGAUCAGUACGUUUACUUUGAAAAAAUUAGAGUGCUUAAAGCAGGCGAUUUGUUUGCCAGAAUAAUGUUGCAUGGAAUAAUGGAAUAGGAUCUCGGUUCUAUUCUGUUGGUCUUCGGAGCCUGAGAUAAUGAUUAAGAGGGACAGACGGGGGCAUUUGUAUUGCGGCGCUAGAGGUGAAAUUCUUGGACCGUCGCAAGACAAACUAAAGCGAAAGCAUUUGCCAAGAAUGUCUUCAUUAAUCAAGAACGAAAGUUUGAGGUUCGAAGGCGAUCAGAUACCGCCCUAGUUCAAACCAUAAACGAUGCCAACCAGCAAUCUGCCUGAGUUCUUUUCAUGACUCGGCAGGCGGCUUCCGGGAAACCAAAGUGUUUCGGUUCCGGGGGAAGUAUGGUUGCAAAGCUGAAACUUAAAGGAAUUGACGGAAGGGCACCACCAGGAGUGGAGCCUGCGGCUUAAUUUGACUCAACACGGGAAAACUCACCCGGCCCGGACACUGGGAGGAUUGACAGAUUGAGAGCUCUUUCUUGAUUCAGUGGGUGGUGGUGCAUGGCCGUUCUUAGUUGGUGGAGCGAUUUGUCUGGUUAAUUCCGAUAACGAACGAGACUCUAGCCUAUUAAAUAGUGUUUGAAAUACCUCGAGAGCUUUCAAAUAAUUAACUUCUUAGAGGGACAGGCGGCGAUUCAGCCGCACGAAACAGAGCAAUAACAGGUCUGUGAUGCCCUUAGAUGUCCGGGGCCGCACGCGCGCUACACUGAAAAAAUCAGCGUGYRARUWGUAAAAKAUGUCCUGCUCCGAYAGGAGCGGGUAACCCAGUGAACCUUUUUCGUGAUUGGGAUUGGAGAUUGUAAUUAUUGUCCAUGAACGAGGAAUUCCCAGUAAGCGUGAUUCAUCAGCUCGCGCUGAUUACGUCCCUGCCCUUUGUACACACCGCCCGUCGCUACUACCGAUUGAGUGAUUUAGUGAGGUCUUCGGAUCGGCCGUUGCUGCUUGUCUUUUAGGCGGGCGGCAGUUGGCUGAAAAGAUGCCCAAACUUGAUUACUUAGAGGAAGUAAAAGUCGUAA